rnacentral:rRNA from 1 species
UACGUAGGGUGCGAGCGUUGUCCGGAAUUAUUGGGCGUAAAGGGCUCGUAGGCGGUCUGUUGCGUCGGGAGUGAAAACUCAGGGCUUAACCCUGAGCCUGCUUCCGAUACGGGCAGACUAGAGGUAUGCAGGGGAGAACGGAAUUCCUGGUGUAGCGGUGAAAUGCGCAGAUAUCAGGAGGACACCGGUGGCGAAGGCGGAUUCUCUGGGCAUUACCUGACGCUGAGGAGCGAAAGUGUGGGAGCGAACAGG